rnacentral:rRNA from 1 species
UGCUUGCACCUUUCAAGCGAGUGGCGAACGGGUGAGUAACACGUGGAUAACCUGCCUCAAGGCUGGGGAUAACAUUUGGAAACAGAUGCUAAUACCGAAUAAAACUUAGUAUCGCAUGAUACAAAGUUGAAAGGCGCUACGGCGUCACCUAGAGAUGGGUCCGCGGUGCAUUAGUUAGUUGGUGGGGUAAAGGCCUACCAAGACAAUGAUGCAUAGCCGAGUUGAGAGACUGAUCGGCCACAUUGGGACUGAGACACGGCCCAAACUCCUACGGGAGGCUGCAGUAGGGAAUCUUCCACAAUGGGCGAAAGCCUGAUGGAGCAACGCCGCGUGUGUGAUGAAGGCUUUAGGGUCGUAAAGCACUGUUGUAUGGGAAGAAAUGCUAGAAUAGGGAAUGAUUCUAGUUCGACGGUACCAUACCAGAAAGGGACGGCUAAAUACGUGCCAGCAGCCGCGGUAAUACGUAUGUCCCGAGCGUUAUCCGGAUUUAUUGGGCGUAAAGCGAGCGCAGACGGUUGAUUAAGUCUGAUGUGAAAGCCCGGAGCUCAACUCCGGAAUGGCAUUGGAAACUGGUUAACUUGAGUGUUGUAGAGGUAAGUGGAACUCCUUGGUGAAACGGU